UACAGAGGUCUCGAGCGUUGUUCGGAUUCAUUGGGCGUAAAGGGCGCGUAGGCGGCGGGGUAAGUCUGGUGUGAAAUCUCGGAGCUCAACUCCGAAAUUGCACUGGAUACUGCUCUGCUAGAGGGCUGGAGAGGAGAUCGGAAUUCACGGUGUAGCAGUGAAAUGCGUAGAUAUCGUGAGGAAGACCAGUGGCGAAGGCGGAUCUCUGGACAGCUCCUGACGCUGAGGCGCGAAGGCGUGGGGAGCAAACAGG
rnacentral:rRNA from 1 species